rnacentral:rRNA from 1 species
GAACGAACGCUGGCGGCGUGCUUAACACAUGCAAGUCGAACGCGAAAGCGGCUUCGGUCGUGAGUAGAGUGGCGCACGGGUGAGUAACGCGUAGAUAACCUGUCUUCAUAUUCGGGAUAAUACGCCGAAAGGGGUACUAAUACCGGAUAUACUCGCAUUUCAAUAGGUGAGGCGAGGAAAGGUGGCCUCUGACGUAAGCUACUGUAUGAAGAGGGGUCUGCGUACCAUUAGCUAGUAGGUGGGGUAAUGGCCUACCUAGGCGACGAUGGUUAGCGGGUCUGAGAGGAUGAUCCGCCACACUGGCACUGGAAUACGGGCCAGACUCCUACGGGAGGCAGCAGUGAGGAAUAUUGCGCAAUGGGGGCAACCCUGACGCAGCGACGCCGCGUGAGUGAGGAAGGUCUUCGGAUCGUAAAGCUCUGUCAAGAGGGAAGAAGUGCAUGGUGGCUAAUAUCCACAGUGUUUGACGGUACCUCUAAAGGAAGCACCGGCUAACUCCGUGCC